GACGAACGCUGGCGGCGUGCUUAACACAUGCAAGUCGAACGGAAAGGCCCUGCUUUUGUGGGGUGCUCGAGUGGCGAACGGGUGGGUAUCACGUGAGUAACCUGCCCUUGACUUUGGGAUAACUUCAGGAAACUGGGGCUAAUACCGGAUAGGAGCUCCUGCUGCAUGGUGGGGGUUGGAAAGUUUCGGCGGUUGGGGAUGGACUCGCGGCUUAUCAGCUUGUUGGUGGGGUAGUGGCUUACCAAGGCUUUGACGGGUAGCCGGCCUGAGAGGGUGACCGGCCACAUUGGGACUGAGAUACGGCCCAGACUCCUACGGGAGGCAGCAGUGGGGAAUAUUGCACAAUGGGCGGAAGCCUGAUGCAGCAACGCCGCGUGCGGGAUGACGGCCUUCGGGUUGUAAACCGCUUUCGCCUGUGACGAAGCGUGAGUGACGGUAAUGGGUAAAGAAGCACCGGCUAACUACGUG
rnacentral:rRNA from 1 species